GACGAACGCUGGCGGCGUGCCUAAUACAUGCAAGUUGAGCGAUGAAGAUUGGUGCUUGCACCAAUUUGAAGAGCAGCGAACGGGUGAGUAACGCGUGGGGAAUCUGCCUUUGAGCGGGGGACAACAUUUGGAAACGAAUGCUAAUACCGCAUAACAACUUUAAACAUAAGUUUUAAGUUUGAAAGAUGCAAUUGCAUCACUCAAAGAUGAUCCCGCGCUGUAUUAGCUAGUUGGUGAGGUAAAGGCUCACCAAGGCGAUGAUACAUAGCCGACCUGAGAGGGUGAUCGGCCACAUUGGGACUGAGACACGGCCCAAACUCCUACGGGAGGCAGCAGUAGGGAAUCUUCGGCAAUGGACGAAAGUCUGACCGAGCAACGCCGCGUGAGUGAAGAAGGUUUUCGGAUCGUAAAACUCUGUUGGUAGAGAAGAACGUUGGUGAGAGUGGAAAGCUCAUCAAGUGACGGUAACUACCCAGAAAGGGACGGCUAACUACGUG
rnacentral:rRNA from 1 species